rnacentral:rRNA from 1 species
UACGGAGGGUGCAAGCGUUGUCCGGAUUUAUUGGGUUUAAAGGGUGCGUAGGCGGCUAUUUAAGUCAGUGGUGAAAUCCUGCAGCUUAACUGUAGAACAGCCAUUGAUACUGGAUAGCUUGAGUACAGACGAGGUAGGCGGAAUUGACGGUGUAGCGGUGAAAUGCUUAGAUAUCGUCAAGAACACCGAUAGCGAAGGCAGCUUACUAGACUGUAACUGACGCUGAUGCACGAAAGUGUGGGGAGCAAACAGG